rnacentral:rRNA from 1 species
GACGAACGCUGGCGGCGGGCUUAACACAUGCAAGUCGAGCGGAAGGGCCCUGCUUUUUUGCGGUUCUCGAGUGGCGAACGGGUGAGUAACGCGUGUGUAACUUGCCCUUGAGUGUGGGAUAACUUCGCGAAAGUGGGGCUAAUACCGCAUGGAAGCGCCGUCUGCAUGGUGGGGGUUGGAAAGAUUCGGCUGGUGGGUAUGUAGGCGCGGGUUACCUUCGUGUGUUGGGGGUGGUGGAUUACCAAGGCUUUGCCGGGUAUCCGGCCUGAGAGGGUGACGGGCCAACGUGGGAAUGAGCUACGGGCCACAGCCGUAAGGGAGGCAGGAGUGGGGAAGAUUGCAUGAUGGGCGGAAGCCUGAUGCAGCAAGGCCGCGCGCGGGAUGAUGGCCCUCGGGUUGUAAACCGCUUUCGCCUGUGACGAAGCGUGAGUGAAGGUAAUGGAUAAAGAAGCACCGGCUAACUACGUG